GUUACAUAUGGAAUUAGGGAGUCUUCUAAUUAAACCAUUACCAGCUAAACUUAGAUAUUUCAACUGCUUCAAAUCGCCUAUCCUCCUUGGCAAUACCUCGAAUUUUGAAAAAGCUAAAUCCAGGACCCUCAAAUAUGGAAAUCUUAAGCAGCAUGUCUUAAUGAACCGUUUACUACUAAUCCCCUCUUUCCCUUUAUUUGAAAAGGAAAUGGUUCGCACAUUUUGCUGGAUUUGUAAGGAUGUUGGAAGAUCCUGAUCAACAAGUGAUUUUGGAUAAGGAAAAGAUAUAUGUGGAACACUUUUGCGAAUCUGUUGAGUGCUGGUCAUUACAACUGAGCAUUCAUUUUGUGAGAUCGAUAAUGCCAAAUCAUGUAUUAGAUCAUGCAUUUU
rnacentral:misc_RNA from 1 species